AACGAACGCUGGCGGCAGGCUUAACACAUGCAAGUCGAACGGCUGUAGCAAUACAGCAGUGGCAGACGGGUGAGUAACACGUGGGAACCUUCCUAGGGGUACGGAACAACUCAGGGAAACUUGAGCUAAUACCGUAUACGUCCGUAAGGAGAAAGAUUCAUCGGCCCCUAGACGGGCCCGCGUCGGAUUAGGUAGUUGGUGGGGUAACGGCCUACCAAGCCUGCGAUCCGUAGCUGAUCUGAGAGGAUGAUCAGCCACACUGGGACUGAGACACGGCCCAGACUCCUACGGGAGGCAGCAGUGGGGAAUCUUGGACAAUGGGCGCAAGCCUGAUCCAGCCAUGCCGCGUGAGUG
rnacentral:rRNA from 1 species